UAUCCCCUCAGCAAGCCAACGGACUCCCAUUUUAUAGAGGAGGAAACUGAGGCACAGACAGAUUAAGUAGCUUGCCUUGUGCACAAGGUCAUCCAGCUGGUAGGAGGUGGAGCCAGGACUUGAACCUGGUUUUGCCUGACUUCUAGAUGGGCGCUAAACCCAGCGUUGUUUUAAGCAGCUCAAGGACUAGACCUGACCCCAGUGGGCAGAAGCUGCUGGGAGCCGGGUUCGCUCAACCUAAGGAUGCUGGUCAAGGUGCAGCCGAUGGGCUGCCUGCUGGUCGCCAAGCUUUCCUCCCCUGGAGGUGUGUGAGCAGCAGGUGGAUUCUGUUUGUCAGGCACGUGUGUUGGACCAGAGGGAUGGUUCUCAAAUCUGGCUGUGCAUCGAAACUUUUGUGGGGUUUGCCGAAAGUGCAGGUGCCCGGGCCUCCCUCCAGGCGGGGCUGGGUGGGCAUCUGGGCUUUUCACACAUUCCCAGGAGCAGCUGGGAAGCCAGGCUGGCCCUGGACGGCACUUCAGGGGACGCUCUUGGCUAACCACCGGUGAUGCCUCCUUCUACACCCAAGGGGGGUCUGAUUCUGGGACCCACGUUCCUCCUCAUGGCUGCAUCAGCACCCGCAGCCCCGGUUGUGAGGCCUGAGUCUAGCUUUCUUUAUCUAGAGGGGGAGAUCAUGGAUCCUAUCGCAGAGGGCUGCUGUGAGAAAUUAAGGCGAACUGAUGCGGCUGGUGCAGCCGGCUCUCAGCCGGGCACAUCGCAGGUGUGACCCUGAGGACCCCUCCUUCCCUGGCAGCACAGCUCCUGUAGACCUGGGUUCACCAGCCUGAGGGAAGGACACACUCCCACUGGGAACAGUGGGUCGCUUCGGCCUCCACCCCAACUGCAGAGCUUGGACGGAAUCUCCAGACGGAGCCCGUGGAACUAGAGGGCGUGUGCCAGCGGCUCGGGCCCAUCGGACGGACCCUCCAGGGACCAGGAGUCCGAGAGAUACUGGCUGAGCACCUACGACCUGUCAGACCCGUGCCAGCAACUGGGAGAUGUUGAGAGCCGUCUGUGCCACGGCCUUGGCCUUCAGGUGUUUACAACCUCGUGGAAGUACGAGCCACACUGCGGGACCGUGGUUAUAUAUAAUACGAAACAGUGCUGUAGGCAGGGCAUAAAAACCAGGAGAUCGGGACA